UACGAAGGGGGCUAGCGUUGCUCGGAAUCACUGGGCGUAAAGCGUGCGUAGGCGGUUCGUUAAGUCAGUUGUGAAAGCCCCGGGCUCAACCUGGGAAUUGCGGUUGAAACUGGCGAACUAGAAUCUGGCAGAGGGGGGUGGAAUUCCACGUGUAGCAGUGAAAUGCGUAGAGAUGUGGAGGAACACCGAUGGCGAAGGCAGCCCCCUGGGCUGAGAUUGACGCUCAGGCACGAAAGCGUGGGGAGCAAACAGG
rnacentral:rRNA from 1 species